rnacentral:rRNA from 1 species
UCGAGAAUUUUUCUCAAUGGGCGCAAGCCUGAAGGAGCGACGCCGCGUGUGGGAUGAAGGGUUUCGAUCCGUAAACCACUGUCAUUUGUGAACAAUGGUUAUUAUUUAAAAGAUGAUAACUUGAUAGUAAUGAAAGAGGAAGGGACGGCUAACUCUGUGCCAGCAGCCGCGGUAAUACAGAGGUCCCAAGCGUUGUUCGGAUUCACUGGGCGUAAAGGGUGCGUAGGUGGCGUGGUAAGUUUGAUGUGAAAGCUCAGGGCUUAACCCUGAAAUGGCAUUGAAUACUACUGUGCUGGAGGUUUGGAGGGGGGACUGGAAUUCUUGGUGUAGCAGUGAAAUGCGUAGAUAUCAAGAGGAACACCAGUGGCGAAGGCGAGUCCCUGGACAACACCUGACACUGAGGCACGAAAGCUAGGGGAGCAAACAG